rnacentral:rRNA from 1 species
UACGUAGGGGCAAGCGUUGUCCGGAUUUAUUGGGCGUAAAGAGCUCGUAGGUGGUUCGGUAAGUCGGAUGUGAAAUCUCCAGGCUCAACCUGGAGGGGUCAUUCGAUACUGCCGUGACUAGAGGUCGGUAGGGGAGUGUGGAAUUCCUGUGGAGCGGUGAAAUGCGCAGAUAUCAGGAGGAACACCCGUAGCGAAGGCGGCACUCUGGGCCGAUACUGACACUGGAGGAGCGAAAGCGUGGGGAGCGAA